CGCGCCCCUGCGCCGCACCGCCGAGCGCCCCUACUCCGUCCGACCCUAAUGAAUCCUCCCAUGGCUUCCCCGUCGUCGACCCGCCUCGCCGUCGGCGAGAGCGCCGCCGCCAUCACCGCCUGUGGUACUGCUCCCGUCGCCGGCCCUCUCCGGUCGCCCCCAACCCCAACCAAGCCCACCUACAGGUACGAUAGAUGAACCACGUGAAGGAUGUGAUAUUGGAACCAAACACGAAGACGAUGUUUGGUGGACAUAUCCAGAAGAGGCAAAGAACCAGGAGUACAUGCUUGGACCGGAAUACUCGCCAAGCGAGUGUCAUCUAACAAACACUGACCUAGUGUUAAUCCCAGG